UUUGAGCAAGCUCUGGGGGUUGGUGAUAGACAGGAAGCCUGGCGUGCUGCAGUCCAUGGGGUCACAAAGAGUUGGACAUGACUGAGCGACUGAACUGACUGGACUGAUGGAGUGGAGAUGUCCCCUCUGACCUUUCUACCCCUCUUUUGUUCUUCAACAGAAAGAUUCCACAAAGGCAGCUGGGAAGAUUACACAAAGCAGAGCUGACUUGAGUUUCCAGUCUGGCAUCUGUGCUUCCCAAACAGUCACCCUUAUGCCAUCUGGUCCUCUGCCCUAUUGAAACCAGAUCUCAGUUUCCUUUCUCAGCCCCUCCGUGCACGUUCUCGGGACCUGAUCGACUCUGCUGGCUGGCACCGGCAAGGUGCCGUAUCCAUGGUGCCUGAAGACAGCUCAGCACAGCCAGCUGCGUGUAGAGUGAUAGCCUCCCUAAGCUGGUUCUACAGGAAGCAUUCACGUGCUCUGAGA